CGAUGAUGCAAGAUUGACUGUGUGAAUAAAAUUCUAGGUAGAAUUAUGAUAAUGACAUUGUCUGCCUAUGUGUCUUGACCAAAUUACGUGCCAGCAGUCGCGGUAAUACGUAGAAGCCAAGUGUUAUUCAUGUUUAAUCGGUUUAAAGGGUACCUAGACGGUAAAUCAAGCCUAUAAAUAAAAGUAAUAAAGGGACUAAUUUGCUAGAGUUACUUAUGAGGGGGUAUUAAAGUACUGCUGGUGUAGAGAUGAAAUUCUGUUAUACCUCUUUUCAAUAGAAAAAUUAUGGCACAGGUAUAGGCGAAGGCAUCCCCUUAUGUGAUAACUGACGUUGAGGGACGAAGGCUUUGUGUAGCGAACAGGAUUAGAUACCCCAGUAGUCAAAGCAGAAAAUGAUGAAUGUCAUAGAUUAGAUAUAUAAGUUUAUUCUAUAAAUGAAAGUGUAAGCAUUCCACCUCAAGAGUAAUUUGGCAACAUUGGAACUGAAAUCAUUAGACCGUUUCUGAAACCAGUAGUGAAGUAUGUUGUUUAAUUUGAUGAUCCGCAAAAAACCUUACCACAAUUUGAAUAUUUAUACCUAUUAUUGUUUUUUUUUUAAUUUUUCCUCUUGUAGCUGAUACAAGUAAAAGAAGAAAUAGAAAUAAGAGGCAAUAAGAUAUAUUUACAAGCGUUGCACGGCUGUCUUCAGUUAAUGUCGCGAGACUUUGGUUAGUUCCAUUAAAUUAACGUAAACCCUUUCUUUAUUUUUAUAUAGAGUAGUUCCCCGCUAUAUUGGAUCUGAUAACA
rnacentral:rRNA from 1 species